rnacentral:rRNA from 1 species
UAAUUUAUUAUGUUGUGCUAUUAAGCCUUGACGAGUAGGAAGGUCGCAGCGAUGAGCGUAGAAGGGUCUGGGUGUAAACCUGCCUGGAGCCGUCGCUGGUGCAGAUCUUGGUGGUAGUAGCAAAUACUCCAGCGAGGACCUGGAGGACUGUUGUGGAGAAGGGUUUCUUGUGAACAGCUGUUGCACAAGAGUCAGUCGAUCCUAAGCUCUAGGAGAAAUCCAAUGUUGAUAGAUGCCUUAUUUUUUUUUUAAGGCAUCUAUUGAGCGAAAGGGAAUCUGGUUCCUAUUCCAGAACCUGGUAGCGGAACCGUUCCAAAUUCGAGCCCUCAAUGAGCUUGUCGGGGUGACCUUAAAAGACCCGGAGACGCCGUUGGAAGGUUUGGGGAGAGUUGUCUCUUCUCUAUAAGCGUUCGAGUUCCCUGGAAUCCUCUAGCAGGGAGAUAGGGUUUGGAACGCGAAGAGCAUCGCAGUUACGGCGGUGUCCAAAUCUUUCCUUCGGACCUUGAAAAUCCGGGCGAGGGCUACGAGGAAUACCGCACCAGAUCGUACCCAUAUCCGCAGCAGGUCUCCAAGGUGAAUAGCCUCUAGUCGAUAGAAUAAUGUAGGUAAGGGAAGUCGGCAAGCUUGAUCCGUAACUUCGGGAUAAGGAUUGGCUCUGAGGAUCGUGGCGUGCUGGGCUUGGUCGGGAAGUGGAGCGGUGUCAAUUAGCCGGGCCUGGGCGACGUAAACAAUUUUUAAUUGUUAAACUAAGCUCGGUCCCGUGCAUUGGCCACCCACGGAUCUUCCUUGCAAUAGGCUCCAUAAUUGUCAGUUACUAAGUAUUUAUUCUUAGUAAAACGGAUUAUGGGUCUUUUCGGCCGCCUUUUAACGAUCAACUCAGAACUGACACGGACAAUGGGAUUCCGACUGUCUAAUUAAAACAAAGUAUUGCGAUGGCCCCAAACGGGUGUUGACGCAAUAUGAUUUCUGCCCAGUGCUCUGAAUGUCAAUGUGAAGAAAUUCAAGUAAGCGCGGGUAAACGGCGGGAGUAACUAUGACUCUCUUAAGGUAGCCAAAUGCCUCGUCAUCUAAUUAGUGACGCGCAUGAAUGGAUUAACGAGAUUCCCAGAUUUUGUUUCAUGUUUAGCCUUUAAGUAUCAAGACGCCGUCAACUAGACCCCUAGCGUGAUCCGAUUCGAAGACACUAUCAGGCGGAUAGUUUGACUGGGGCGGUACAUCUGUCAAAAAAUAACGCAGGUGUCCUAAGGCCAGCUCAGCGAGGACAGAAACCUCGCGUAGAGCAAAAGGGCAAAUGCUGGCUUGAUCUCGAUGUUCAGUAUGCAUAGAGACUGCGAAAGCAUGGCCUAUCGAUCCUUUUAGUCUGAAGAACUUUCAGCAAGAGGUGUCAGAAAAGUUACCUCAGGGAUAACUGGCUUGUGGCAGCCAAGCGUUCAAAGCGACGUUGCUCUUUGAUCCUUCGAUGUCGGCUCUCCCUAUCAUAGUGAAGCAGAAUUCACUAAGUGUCGGAUUGUUCACCCGCUAACAGGGAACGUGAGCUGGGUUUAGACCGUCGCGAGACAGGUUAGUUUUACCCUACUAAUGAAUAGUUUUUGCGUUAGUAAUCCUGCUCAGUACGAGAGGAACCGCAGGUUCGGACAUUUGGUUCAUGCACUCGGUCGACAGGCCGAUGGUGCGAUGCUACCACCCGUAGGAUUAUGCCUGAACGCCUCUAAGGCCGAAUCCUUUCUAAAUAAGCAAAUAUAACAUUUAUGGGCUUUGUGAGUUAAAAGGCUUAAGCAAUGUGAUUGUUUAGGUGGUUAACAUUUUUUUGUUUAAUCAUCACA